rfam:Gilliamella sp. R-53248 genome assembly, contig: Ga0061081_119
GGGUCGUUAGCUCAGUCGGUAGAGCAGCGGACUUUUAAUCCGUUGGUCGAGCGUUCGAAUCGCUCACGACCCA